UACGGAGGAUCCAAGCGUUAUCCGGAUUUAUUGGGUUUAAAGGGUGUGUAGGUGGCGCGCUAAGUCGGGUGUGAAAUUUCGGAGCUUAACUCCGAAACUGCAUUCGAUACUGGCGUGCUUGAGGACUGGAGAGGAGACUGGAAUUCAUGGUGUAGCAGUGAAAUGCGUAGAGAUCAUGAGGAAGACCAGUGGCGAAGGCGGGUCUCUGGACAGUUCCUGACACUGAGACACGAAGGCCAGGGGAGCAAACGGG
rnacentral:rRNA from 1 species